rnacentral:lncRNA from 1 species
AAGAUAUUAAAGGAUAGGAAAUAAGAAAAAUAUAUAGACUGUCAAAGAUAAAUUUUAAAGAGCCUGAGUUUUUCAGAUGUCUGUUAUCCAUCCUUUUCUGCCUUUGUCUCCUCGACCAGAAAAGCUUAAGCUUCCGCCUCCUUCAUCACUAGCUCAUCUCACUCUCUUCGCAGUGUCACUAGGAAGACAUAAAAUGCUGAUUGGCCAUUUGCCAGGCAGGAAGUAUAGGCGGGGCUACCAGACUAGGAGAAAGCUGGAAAGAGGAAGUGGUCACCAGCCAGAUGCAGAGGAAACAAGAUGGGAAUGCCUUACUGAGAAAAGUCUUUCCUAAGCCAUGACAGGAGAAUAUAGCUAUGGGAUCAAACUGGCCAGGAGAAAAAUGAGAAUUCAAAGAUAAUAUCUUGAGUCAACUUCCUGUUGCCUUCUGAUCAAGAUGUAGCCCACACCAUGUCUGGUUGAACACCAUCAUGCUCCCCACCAUGAUGAUAAUGGACUGAACCUCUGAAACUACUCCCCAAGACAGAAGCAAGCUGGCGUGUAUCAAUGUGACAGGAGAGCAGACAGGGUUUCUCUGUGGCUUUGGAGCCUAUCCUGGAACUAGCUCUUGUAGACCAGGCUGGUCUUGAACUCACAGAGAUCCACCUGCCUCUGCCUCCCGAGUGCUGGGAUUAAAGGCGUGUGUCACCAAUGCCCGACUGCAUGUAGGAAUCUUACAAGCUCUCUGCAGCAUGGUAGAAGCACAAAGGAAUGUCUACCCACAAAUUGUUCAUACAAUUUUCCAG